rnacentral:rRNA from 1 species
UAAUGCGUGACUAACCUGCCUCAUGGUCUGGAAUAGCUCCUGGAAACGGGUGGUAAUGCCGGAUGGUCCAACUUCCCGCAUGGUUUUUUGGGAAAGCUUUUGCGCCAUGGGAUGGGGUCGCGUCCUAUCAGCUUGUUGGUGGGGUGUUGGCCUACCAAGGCUUCGACGGGUAGCCGGCCUAAGAGGGCGACCGGCCACAUUGGGACUGAGAUACGGCCCAGACUCCUACGGGAGGCAGCAGUGGGGAAUAUUGCACAAUGGGGGGAACCCUGAUGCAGCGACGCCGCGUGCGGGAUGGAGGCCUUCGGGUCGUGAACCGCUUUUACAGGGGAGCAAGCUUUCGGGUGAGUUAACU